rnacentral:rRNA from 1 species
AACGCGAAGAACCUUACCUGGUCUAGACAUCCUGCGAACUUUCUAGAGAUAGAUUGGUGCCUUCGGGAACGCAGUGACAGGUGCUGCGUGGCUGUCGUCAGCUCGUGUCGUGAGAUGUUGGGUUAAGUCCCGUAACGAGCGCAACCCUUGUCCUUAUUUGCCAUCAUUUAGUUGGGCACUCUAAGGAGACUGCCGGUGACAAACCGUGAGGAAGGUGGGGAUGACGUCAAAUCAUCACGGCCCUUACGAGUAGGGCUACACACGUGCUACAAUGGUAUGGACAAUGAGCAGCCACUAUGCGAAUAGGAGCGAAUCUAUAAACCAUAUCACAGUUCGGAUCGGAGUCUGCAACUCGACUCCAUGAAGUCGGAAUCGCUAGUAAUCGUAGAUCAGAAUGCUACGGUGAAUACGUUCCCGGGUCUUGUACACACCG